rnacentral:misc_RNA from 1 species
UUAACUUAUAUAUUACUCAGACAACACAAAAAUCAAGAGUUUAGGGUCCUCUGGCAGGCGCGGACCAGCCGAAGCCAGUGGUCAAGAGACGGGCCUGCCAAAGCAACAAAGGUAAUAUAAACAAAGGGUGGGAGAUCUACCCCAAAGGGCAAUUUCUCUGUAAUGAUCCUUCCGCAGGUUCACCUACGGAAA